rnacentral:rRNA from 1 species
AAAGACUUGACGGUACUUCACAUCAACCUAGAGGAGCCUGUCCAAUAACCGAUACUCCACGAUUAACCUCACCCACCCUAGCCUUAACAGUCUAUAUACCGCCGUCGCCAGCUCACCUUGUGAAAGAAAUAAAGUGAGCACAAUAAGCCACCCUUAACACGACAGGUCGAGGGGUAACCAAUGAGUGGGCAAAAGAUGGGCUACACUUUUUAACACAGAAAACACGGACAAACCAUGAAAUUAGAAACUGAAGGCGGAUUUAGCAGUACGACAAGAACAAAAUACUUG